rnacentral:rRNA from 1 species
AACGAACGCUGGCGGCAUGCCUAACACAUGCAAGUCGAACGAGACCUUCGGGUCUAGUGGCGCACGGGUGCGUAACGCGUGGGAACCUGCCCUUAGGUUCGGAAUAACUCCCCGAAAGGGGUGCUAAUACCGGAUAAUGUCUUCUGACCAAAGAUUUAUCGCCUUUGGGUGGGCCCGCGUUGGUUUAGCUGGUUGGUAGGGUAAAAGCCUACCAAGGCGACGAUCCAUAGCUGGUCUGAGAGGAUGAUCAGCCACACUGGGGCUGAGACACGGCCCAGACUCUUAGGGGAGGCAGCAGAGGGGAAUAUUGGAAAACGGGCGGAAGCCUGAUCCAGCAAUGCCGCGAGAGUGAUGAAGGCCUUAGGGUAGUAAAGCUCUUUUACCCGGGAUGAUAAUGACAGUACCGGGAGAAUAAGCUCCGGCUAACUCCGUG